UACAGAGGGGGCAAGCGUUGUCCGGAAUUAUUGGGCGUAAAGCGCGCGCAGGCGGUCCUUUAAGUCUGAUGUGAAAGCCCACGGCUCAACCGUGGAGGGUCAUCGGAAACUGGGGGACUUGAGUACAGAAGAGAAGAGUGGAAUUCCACGUGUAGCGGUGAAAUGCGUAGAGAUGUGGAGGAACACCAGUGGCGAAGGCGACUCUUUGGUCUGUAACUGACGCUGAGGCGCGAAAGCGUGGGGAGCAAACAGG
rnacentral:rRNA from 1 species